AGGUCAUGUCAAAGAUGGCUUACAUGUCUGUGAAACCAGAAGCUCUUAUGAUCAAAGACUGAAGUUCUUCACAGGAUGCCAUAGUCACCCAAUAGUGCUGUUUUCCUAAGGUGAUAUAAGA
rnacentral:snoRNA from 1 species